GUGGACUCUCAAGCGUGAGGUAAGGGCAUCUGGUGAAUGCCUUGGCAUGUACAGGCGAUGAAGGACGUGGCACGCUGCGAUAAGCGUGGGGGAGCUGUGAGCAAGCUUUGAUCCCGCGAUUUCCGAAUGGGACAACCCACCUUCACCAUUUAAGACUGGUCCAGCAGCAAUGCUGGCCCCGUGUUAAAUGGGAGAGGUAUCACUAAGCUGAAUAAAAUAGGCUUUGGUGAGGCGAACCCGGAGAACUGAAACAUCUCAGUACCCGGAGGAAAAGACAUCAACCGAGAUUCCGUUAGUA
rnacentral:rRNA from 1 species